rnacentral:rRNA from 1 species
GAUGAACGCUAGCGGCAGGCCUAACACAUGCAAGUCGAGGGGCAGCGGGAAUGAAGCUUGCUUCAUUUGCCGGCGACCGGCGCACGGGUGCGUAACGCGUAUGUAACCUACCUUAAACAGGGGCAUAACACUGAGAAAUUGGUACUAAUUCCCCAUAACACUUUGGAAGGCAUCUUCUGAAGUUGAAAGUUCCGGCGGUUUAAGAUGGACAUGCGUUGUAUUAGUUAGUUGGUGAGGUAACGGCUCACCAAGACGACGAUACAUAGGGGGACUGAGAGGUUAACCCCCCACAUUGGUACUGAGACACGGACCAA